rfam:Xenopus tropicalis strain Nigerian scaffold_1360_contig_10, whole genome shotgun sequence.
GCCUACGGUCAUACCACCCUGAAAGCGCCCGAUCUCGUUUAAUCUCGGAAGCUAAGCAGGGACGGGCUUGGUUAGUACCUGGAUGGGAGACCCCCUGGGAAUUCCAGGUGUUGUAGGCU